UACGUAGGGCGCAAGCGUUGUCCGGAAUUAUUGGGCGUAAAGAGCUCGUAGGCGGUUUGUCGCGUCUGCUGUGAAAACCUAAGGCUCAACCUUGGGCUUGCAGUGGGUACGGGCAGACUAGAGUGCGGUAGGGGUGACUGAAUUCCUGGUGUAGCGGUGGAAUGCGCAGAUAUCAGGAGGAACACCGAUGGCGAAGGCAGGUCACUGGGCCGCAACUGACGCUGAGGAGCGAAAGCAUGGGGAGCGAACAGG
rnacentral:rRNA from 1 species